rnacentral:misc_RNA from 1 species
UCAAACUUGGUCAUUUAGAGGAAGUAAAAGUCGUAACAAGGUCUCCGUUGGUGAACCAGCGGAGGGAUCAUUACCAGAGUGCCUUUUGGCUCUCCAACCCACUGUGAACAUACCUACGUUUCCCUCGGCGGGCUCAGCGCGUUGCGGUUCCGCCGCCUCGCGUCCGCCGGGGGCACCCAAACUCGAAUUUAUAUCGUGUAUCUCUGAGGGGCGAAAGCCCGUAAAACAAAUGAAUCAAAACUUUCAACAACGGAUCUCUUGGCUCUGGCAUCGAUGAAGAACGCAGC